GCGAACGCUAGCGGCGGGCCUAACACAUGCAAGUCGAGCGGGGAGCAAUCCCAGCGGCGAACGGGUGAGUAACACGUAGGUAACGUAUCUUCUGGUGGGGAAAAACCGUGGGAAACCAUGGCUAAUUCCGCAUGUGUCCUUCGGGAUGAAAGCCUUCGGGCGCCAGUUGAGUGGCCUGCGGCCGAUUAAUUAUUCCUAGUUGGUAGGGUAACGGCCUACCAAGGGUACGAUCGGUAGCUGGUCUGAGAGGAUGAUCAGCCACACUGGAACUGAGACACGGUCCAGACUCCUACGGGAGGCAGCAGUGGGGAAUAUUGCGCAAUGGGCGAAAGCCUGACGCAGCCACGCCGCGUGAGUGAUGAAGGCCUUCGGGUUGUAAAGCUCUGUCGGGAGGGACGAAAGGAGCAAUCCUUGACGGUACCUCGCAAGAAAGCACCGGCUAACUCUGU
rnacentral:rRNA from 1 species